CAGGACGAACGCUGGCGGCGUGCCUAACACAUGCAAGUCGAGCGGGGACAUGCGACGGAUAGGAAGUUUCGGAUGGACUUGAAGAUGCAUUGUUCUAGCGGCGGACGGGUGAGUAACGCGUGAGCAACCUGUCCCUUACAGGGGAUAACACAGCGAAAGUUGUACUAAUACCGCAUAAGACCACGGGAGGACAUCCUUCAGGGGUCAAAGGAGCAAUCCGGUAAGGGGUGGGCUCGCGUCCGAUUAGAUAGUUGGUGAGGUAACGGCCCACCAAGUCGACGAUCGGUAGCCGACCUGAGAGGGUGAUCGGCCACAUUGGGACUGAGACACGGCCCAAACUCCUACGGGAGGCAGCAGUGGGGAAUAUUGGGCAAUGGGGGGAAACCCUGACCCAGCAACGCCGCGUGAGGGAAGAAGGUUUUCGGAUCGUAAACCCCUGUCCUUGGUGAAGAGGAAGAGACGGUAGCCAAGGAGGAAGCCCCGGCUAACUACGUGCCAGCCGCUGC
rnacentral:rRNA from 1 species